UGUACUUGAACAGCAGGGGAGAUGGAGAACUCUCUUCUGGAAGCUAGCACAGCAAAACAGAAAGCAGGAGUGAGAUGUGAUCAAGAGAGAAAAAAAAUUGUGUCUAAGACAAAUGAUUAAGUUGGUACAAAUAAUAAGAGCAGUGACAAGAAGGGGUUAUGAGUCCCAAGCAGAACCUCUCAUGGCAUUGAUUUGUGGGAGUGGCAAUUAGUGUCAUCUUUACAUGACUUGGCUUAUGACAAGGAGAGUCAAGAGACUCUCCUUAAACCUGUCGUGUUUCACAGCUCUAUCAAUAACCUCCAAAGAAAUGUGCUGUCAACAGGAUUGCAGGUGAUGCCAAAACUGGGAGA